GACGAACGCUGGCGGCGUGCCUAACACAUGCAAGUCGAACGGAAAGGCCCUGCUUUUGUGGGGUGCUCGAGUGGCGAACGGGUGAGUAACACGUGAGUAACCUGCCCUUGACUUUGGGAUAACUUCAGGAAACUGGGGCUAAUACCGGAUAGGAGCUCCUGCUGCAUGGUGGGGGUUGGAAAGUUUCGGCGGUUGGGGAUGGACUCGCGGCUUAUCAGCUUGUUGGUGGGGUAGUGGCUUACCAAGGCUUUGACGGGUAGCCGGCCUGAGAGGGUGACCGGCCACAAUGGGACUGAGGUACGGCCCAGACUCCAACGGGAGGCAACGGUGGAGAGUAUUGCACAGUGGGCGGAAGCCUGAUGCAGCGGCGCCGCGUGCGGGAUGACGGCCUUCGGGUUAUAAACCGCUUUCGCCUGUGACGAAGCGUGAGUGACGGUAAUGGGUAAAUAAGCACCGGCUAACUACGUG
rnacentral:rRNA from 1 species